CUGCUCCACAGCAGCAUCAAGCAAAAUAGCCGAUGUCAUUGCCAGCCCCAUGAUGAACUCACAUGAGAGACCCAGAUGCAGUUCUUGGCUCUUGGGUUCAGCUGGCCCCACUCUGGCAGCCAUAGCCACUUAGGGAGUGAGUCAGUGGUUGGAAGGCUUCUCAGGUGAGUAUCGGUAGCACAAGUACUUCCCUGUCACAUUAGCAGGAAGCUGGAUCAGAAACAGAGUAGUUGGGACUCCAACUGGUGCUUUGCUAUACCCGAUGCUGGAGUUGCAAACAUCAGCUUCACUCACUGUACUACAACACAGCUGGCUCUGCCAGAAGCCUCACCUUUCAUAUUUGAAAAUACAAGUAAUGAAUUCUUGCAAGCUGAAUGAAGGAGGAUAAAGAAAAGACACAGAGAAUCAAAAGUCAGGGUGAGGAUGGCCAAGGGUUGUAAUGACAGUUCCUGGAGAGGCUGGGAUGUGGAUUGGAAUUGUCUAUUUCUGGUUGAGAUGAAAUCACAGGAACUGACUUGAUGCCUACCCCCAAGACAAAGUACACUGAUGUGCUGGACACCAGGCAAUGAAGAACAGUGGUCCGGGAGUGUGUGGAGCAAACGAGGAGGUCCUGCAACCACCUGCCCCACCCCUGCCCUGCCUACACUGCGUGGGAUUUCCAGAAUGCUACACAGCCAAACUGCUAGGAUGAAGAGAGAGGAGAUGACAAAUGAUGAACAUUGAGAAUAAGAGAAAUAGUAUUACUAUAAGUUCUCCAGCUACUGACGGGAAAAUAUGGAGAUAUUAUGAACUUUGUGCUAGUAAUUUUGGAAAACUUAGAUGAAAUGGAAA